AGGUCGUUGAGGCAGAGAAGCAUUGCAUGUUUUGGAAUGGCUCCAGCAUGAGUCCAGACGGGUUCGCAGAUGAGGGUUGUCAUGUAGAUUCAGCGAAGAGCAACUCAGUGGAAACAGUUUGUAGAUGCAAUCAUUUGACCUACUUUGCUGUCUUAGUUCACUUUCACAGUGGUGGCACAAAGCUCACCAAGAAGGACGGAACUAUCCUGGCGACAAUCACUUACGUAGGAUUAAGCCUUUCCAUCAUCGGGAUACUUUUGACAAUCAUCCUGUAUUCUUUCGCCACGUAAGCACUGUUACCAGACAAUCAGUUAUGACUUUGAAGCUGAUUCCAUACAGCAGACCAGAACGUGCAAAAAAUCACUGUAAAAGUCUCUCUUGGCAACUACGAUUUUAAAAAAACUUGGUGUUUAUUGGAUUGGAUAAUAAGUAAGUUAAGUCUGUAAAAUGUAUGUUCGUUAUUGACCAAUCGUGAGGUCAAGAUGGCUGGAUAUUGGCCGAGUUCUUUUGUUGCGUUUUUAUGGACGCAAAAAGGAACAAGGGAUUUAACCGGAUAAUCCAGAGUGGGCAAGAUGGGUCCAUCUUGCUGCUCGGGUAGCCAAUCUAUGAAAUAUUUGAUAAGGGACAAGUACCACAUAUUAUCAGUGACAAUAGGGCUCAUCUGCUUUCAGUUCCUUUAAUUCAUAACGGACAUUUAAAAAAUAAAACGCAACUAUGAAAUAGUAAGUCUUUAGUUAGAGCGUUCCUUCCAGCUUCUUUGCAACCAAAUAUACUGGGAAUGUCGAAUAUCUUAUGCAUUUACUGGCAUAUUUUGUGUUUAUUGCAUGUUGGUUUUUUUUCCUUUGACUUUAAUUUUGCUUCUGAUUAUAAUCAUAGGAUUUGUCGUGCGUUCCUCUUUGUCUUAUUUUUCUUUAUUUUCGUUUCUUCGUCAGAGAUGUUCGUCAACCUCUGUCACAAGUACGUUUAAGUCUUUCUGUGUCCCUUAGAGCUGGACAGAUUAUCUUUCUUGUCGGGAUAAA